rnacentral:rRNA from 1 species
AAGACGAGAAGACCCUGUGGAGCUUUAACUAACCAACCCAAAGAGAAUAGAUUUAACCAUUAAGGAAUAACAACAAUCUUCCAUGAGUUGGUAGUUUCGGUUGGGGUGACCUCGGAGAAUAAAAAAUCCUCCGAGCGAUUUUAAAGACUAGACCCACAAGUCAAAUCACUCUAUCGCUCAUUGAUCCAAAAACUUGAUCAACGGAACAAGUUACCCUAGGGAUAACAGCGCAAUC